rnacentral:lncRNA from 1 species
CUCACCAAGAGGUUGAUGAGGAAGAUCUGACCAGUGUUACCCAAAGCAGUAUGGCAAGAGUCAGAGGAAAAAAAGGAUGGGAAGAGCCUGUAAGGGUUUAGUAGAACACCAGUCAUAAGGGCAGCUGACUACAACUCAGUGGACAAAGGAAUGAUCAAGCAGGCUCAAAAGAAGAUAUAGGAGAGGAAGAAGAGAGAAGUCAGAGGAGGAGAAAAAUGAAGAGUA